CCUGCCCCUAGAGGCAUUGCUGGUGUGGUUGCUGUGUCAUGUGUGUCCGUAGGUGGCAGAGAGGACAGGCUAUGUCUAUGCUCAGUGUUCUGAUCUAUAAACAUUGGAAUGAUUAGUGGCUUAACAUU